rnacentral:lncRNA from 1 species
GCUCCUUAGAGCCGAAGACGCUCCGGUGCUGCGCCGCCUCUUCCAGGCUAUGGGCCGGCCCGGCUGCAUUUACCUUUUGGCUUGGUUCACUGUUCACCAGCCACGCGGUCCAGGUCGCCGCCGGCUGCUUGCUAGCACCCCGGGCCGCCAGGGUACCCGCCUGGGGUGGGUGAGGGGCUCGGAGCGCCUGAUACCCCGCGAUGUGCCACCGGGGACUUGGAAGUGAGCGGUGCUGGGUGUUCCUCCCACUAUCCCACUCCAGGACAGCUAGAGCUCACUCGGAACCAAGCCUUUCUGCUGCUCCUGAGCUUCGACUUCCUCGCGCCCUGGAGCCCACUUCACUCAGCUCGCCGCCGCCCAGAGUUGCAAAGUGCGACGCGCACAGGAGCGCAG